rnacentral:rRNA from 1 species
CACGUAGGAGGCAAACGUUAUCCGGAUUCAUUGGGUUUAAAGGGUGCGUAGGCGGGCUAUUAAGUCAGUGGUGAAAUCCUGCAGCUUAACUGCAGAACUGCCGUUGAUACUGAUAGUCUUGAGUUUGGUUAAGGUAGGCGGAAUGUGUAAUGUAGCGGUGAAAUGCUUAGAUAUUACACAGAACACCAAUUGCGUAGGCAGCUUACUGAGCCGACACUGACGCUGAGGCACGAAAGCGUGGGAAUCAAACAGGAUUAGAUA